rnacentral:rRNA from 1 species
CUCCGGUUGAUCCUGCCGGACCUGACUGCUAUCGGAUUGGUACUAAGCCAUGCGAGUCGUUGUAGCAAUACAAGGCGGACGGCUCAGUAACACGUAGUCAACCUAACCUAUGGACGUGGAUAACCUCGGGAAACUGAGAAUAAACCGCGAUAGAUCAUUAUGCCUGGAAUGGCUUAUGGUUCAAACAAUUUAUUGCCGUAGGAUGGGACUGCGGCCUAUCAGCUUGUUGGUGAGGUAAUGGCCCACCAAGGCUAUAACAGGUACGGGCUCUGAGAGGAGAAGCCCGGAGAUGGGUACUGAGACACGGACCCAGGCCCUAUGGGGCGCAGCAGGCGAGAAACCUUAGCAAUGUGCGAAAGCACGACUAGGUUAAUCCGAGUGAUUUCUGUUGAAGAAAUCUUUUGUCAGUCGUAAAACCACAGACGAAUAAGGGGUGGGCAAGUCUGGUGUCAGCCGCCGCGGUAAUACCAGCACCUCGAGUGGUCAGGAGGUUUAUUGGGCCUAAAGCAUCCGUAGCCGGCUACGCAAGUCUCCGGUUAAAUCCAGCUGCUCAACAGAUGGGCUGCCGGAGAUACUACAUAGCUAGGGAGCGGGAGAGGUAGACGGUAUUCUGUGGGUAGGGGUAAAAUCCACUGAUCCAUAGAGGACCACCAGUGGCGAAGGCGGUCUACCAGAACGCGUUCGACGGUGAGGGAUGAAAGCUGGGGGAGCAAACCGGAUUAGAUACCCGGGUAGUCCCAGCUGUAAACGAUGCAAACUCGGUGAUGCAUUGGCUUAUGGCCAAUGCAGUGCCGCAGGGAAGCCGUUAAGUUUGCCGCCUGGGAAGUACGGACGCAAGUCUGAAACUUAAGGAAUUGGCGGGGGAGCA